UACAUUAAUGAAAUGACUGGACGGGUUGGUGCCGAGGUGACGGUGCUCCUCCUUCUCGUUCGUCGGUGGUGGUGUGGUUGUCUCGANUCUCCUUGGUUGUCGCCUCGAUCGGGGUCUAGGCGGUGGUGGACGCUGCCGCCGUUGUCUGCUGGUGGCACGUCGUCCGUACCCGGACACGUUGUCCCUUUGGCCCACGGACACGUAUCAUCCGUUGUUGCGCGAGAACGUCGUCGGUUUACCACACCCGUAUCAAUGGCCCCGACGUGCGUAUACUUAAUGCGACGACCGAUUUCAUAUCUUGUCGCGCGGAAUUCUUAAAUUAUAAUUAACAAACUUUACACGUGAAGGACAGAGUC